UACGUAGGGGGCAAGCGUUGUCCGGAUUCAUUGGGCGUAAAGAGCGUGUAGGCGGCCAGGUAGGUCGGUUGUGAAAGUCAAGGGCUCAACCCUUGAAAGCCGGUUGAUACUGUCGGGCUAGAGUCCGGAAGAGGCGAGUGGAAUUCCCGGUGUAGCGGUGAAAUGCGCAGAUAUCGAGAGGAACACCUGCGGCGAAGGCGGGUUGCUGGGCUGACACUGACGCUGAUGUGCGAAAGCUAGGGGAGCGAACGGG
rnacentral:rRNA from 1 species